GACUACCGGGGUAUCUAAUCCUGUUUGCUCCCCACGCUUUCGCGCCUCAGCGUCAGUUAAUGUCCAGCAGACCGCCUUCGCCACUGGUGUUCCUCCUCAUAUCUACGCAUUUCACCGCUACACGAGGAAUUCCGUCUGCCUCUCCAUCACUCAAGAACUACAGUUUCAAAUGCAGGCUAUGGGUUGAGCCCAUAGUUUUCACAUCUGACUUGUAAUCCCGCCUACACGCCCUUUACACCCAGUAAAUCCGGAUAACGCUUGCCACCUACGUAUUACCGCGGCUGCUGGCACGUAGUUAGCCGUGGCUUGUUUUCAGGGUACCGUCAUUUGUUUCGUCCCCUGUCAAAGAAGUUUACAACCCGAAAGCCUUCUUCCUUCACGCGGCGUUGCUGGGUCAGGCUUGCGCCCAUUGCCCAAUAUUCCCCACUGCAGCCCCCCGUAGG
rnacentral:rRNA from 1 species